rnacentral:rRNA from 1 species
UACGGAGGGGGCUAGCGUUGUUCGGAAUUACUGGGCGUAAAGCGCACGUAGGCGGCUUUGUAAGUUAGAGGUGAAAGCCCGGGGCUCAACUCCGGAAUUGCCUUUAAGACUGCAUCGCUAGAAUUGUGGAGAGGUAAGUGGAAUUCCGAGUGUAGAGGUGAAAUUCGUAGAUAUUCGGAAGAACACCAGUGGCGAAGGCGACUUACUGGACACAUAUUGACGCUGAGGUGCGAAGGCGUGGGGAGCAAACAGG